GCCCGCUCAGAAACUCAAAGGAAUUCGACGGGGGCCCGCACAAGCGGUGGAUCAUGUUGUUUAAUUCGAUGAUACGCGAAGAACCUUACCAGGUCUUGACAUCCCCCGCGAUGCUUUAGAGAUAAAGCGGAGGUAUUCGGGGAGACAGGUGGUGCAUGGUUGUCGUCAGCUCGUGUCGUGAGAUGUUGGGUUAAGUCCCGCAACGAGCGCAACCCCUAUUGCUAGUUACCAUCAUUAAGUUGGGGACUCUAGCGAGACUGCCAGUGAUAAACUGGAGGAAGGUGGGGAUGACGUCAAAUCAUCAUGCCCCUUAUGACCUGGGCUACAAACGUGAUACAAUGGCUGGAACAAAGGGAUGCGAAGCAGUGAUGUGGAGCGAAACCCAUAAAAACAGUCUCAGUUCGGAUUGAAGUCUGCAACUCGACUUCAUGAAGUCGGAAUCGCUAGUAAUCGCGGAUCAGAACGCCGCGGUGAAUACGUUCUCGGGGUUU
rnacentral:rRNA from 1 species